rnacentral:misc_RNA from 1 species
AGUUUAAUUCUCCUAUAGUUCGAGCAACUCUGUAAGUUUCCCUUAUUUUUAAAAAUAGGUAUUAAAAUACUAUUCUUUUAUUGGAAAAGGGAGAUGAAUCUCAUGCAAGGUGAGAUUCAAUAAUGGGAUUAUCCAUUUAGUACUGGACCUGUCAUCUAUAAAAAGUAAAAUUGGUUAAGUCACAGGUGGAUUGUAGACAACCAGAUUAUAUUAACUUAAAUAUUUAUGCUUAUUUGGUGGUUUAUUUUCUGAGUGCCUUGUAGCUUUGGUGUUUAAAUUCUAUCCUUAAAUUUGUACCACUUACAUUGUAGCAGUUUCUGUGCCUCUGCUUCGAUUUCAUGGGCCAUCUUGCUGUAGAAACUCUUA